ensembl:lncRNA
GUUUUGGGGAGGGGGGAGGGGGGGGGGGGUCCAUCUGACUGUUUAGAGCUGAGCAUUGGGGGCGCAGCCCUUGGUGAAGCCAUAGCUUUGAACUGGAGUGGUUCUGAUGGGCCAACCAACCCGAUGCGGCCGGCUCCAUUCGCACUGGAAGUCUGGGUGAGCCCCCCCCGUCCGUGCGUCCCCCUGCUGUCCGUCUGUGGCUCUGUGUGAUAUGGGGGGGGGGGUUCUCUGUGUCCACCCCCCUCCCCCCACUGCUGUCAUUGGGCCCCAAUGUGAUGGAGGGGGGUCCUCUGUCCCCCCCCCUCCUCCUAGCCCUGUGUUGGUACGAUGUGGGUUCACUGCAGCCCCAAUGUGUUUUGGAGGAUGAGCCUCGUGCUGGACUUGGGGUUGGGGUUAUAGGAUCUGGGUUGGAGUUAGAGGGUCAGAGUUGGAGUUAGAGGCUCAGGGUUAUGGGGUCAUGGUCAGGAUUAUAGGAUGUGGGUUGGGGUUAUAGGGUCAGGGUUGGGGUUAUAGGGUCAGGGUCACGGUGCUAGGGUCAGGGUUAUAGGGUCAAGGUUGGGGUUAUAGGGUUAGGGUCACAAUGAUAGGGUCAGGGUUGUAGGGUCACAGUGAUAGGGUCAGGGUUGGGGUUAUAGGGUCAGGGUUGUAGGGUCACAGUGAUAGGGUCAGGGCUGCUCUGUAAGGACCCUCCAUGCACUGAUCCCCCCCCAUCCCCCUUUCAGCCACGCACCCCCCUCUGCCCCAGCGCAUCCCAAUGGGGCCAUGUAGCAUUCACACACACUGCACUUUGCAGCACAUGGGGGGGGGCUCAGAAAAGGAUGGGGGGGGUCCGGGGGGGCGACGGACUGUACGAUGGCCACUGAGACACUUUACCUCUUCAGUAUGCAACUGUACAUACGGUGUAAGAUAGGAAACCUUUUGGUUUUGUUUAAUAUAAAGAAAGGAAACCCAACCCGAGGCUGUUGGGGUUCUGCUGGACG